rnacentral:rRNA from 1 species
UUGGAGGGCAAGUCUGGUGCCAGCAGCCGCGGUAAUUCCAGCUCCAAUAGCGUAUAUUAAAGUUGUUGCAGUUAAAAAGCUCGUAGUUGAAUUUCGGGGUUCAUCCGUUGGUCGGGCUUUUUGGUCUGUACUGGCGUGAUGGAUUCCUACCUUCUGAAUAACCGGCAUGUCAUUAAUUUGGUGCGCCGGGGAAGCAGGACUGUUACCUUGAAAAAAUUAGAGUGCUUAAAGCAGGCUAUCGCCUGAAUACAUUAGCAUGGAAUAAUGAAAUAGGGCGGCAUGGUUCUAUUUUGUUGGUUUCUAGGAUCACCGUAAUGAUUAGUAGGGAUAGUUGGGGGCAUUAGUAUUCAAUUGUCAGAGGUGAAAUUCUUGGAUUUAUUGAAGACUAACUUCUGCGAAAGCAUUUGCCAAGGAUGUUUUCAUUAAUCAAGAACGAAAGUUAGGGGAUCGAAGACGAUCAGAUACCGUCGUAGUCUUAACCAUAAACUAUGCCGACUAGGGAUCGGACGAUGUUAAUUUUUUAAUGACUCGUUCGGCGCCUUACGGGAAAC